UAAGGUACGCUGUUGAGGGUUAAGGAUUUACUCCGUAAGCCUUCGGCAGCCUCAGAAACUAGGCCGCUGCAACUGUUUAUUUAAAACAUAGCACUCUGCAAACACGAAAGUGGACGUAUAGGGUGUGAUGCCUGCCCGGUGCUGGAAGGUUAAUUGAUGGGGUUAGCUAACGCGAAGCUCUUGAUCGAAGCCCCAGUAAACGGCGGCCGUAACGAUAACGGUCCUAAGGUAGCGAAAUUCCUUGUCGGGUAAGUUCCGACCUGCACGAAUGGCAUAAUGAUGGCGGCGCUGUCUCCACCAGAGACUCAGUGAAAUCGAAAUCGCGGUGAAGAUGCCGUGUACCCGCGGCUAGACGGAAAGACCCCGUGAACCUUUACUGCAGCUUUGCACUGAACUUUGAUCUUACCUGUGUAGGAUAGGUGGGAGGCUUUGAAGCUCGGACGCUAGUUCGAGUGGAGCCAUCCUUGAAAUACCACCCUGGUAAUAUUGAGGUUCUAACCCAGGUCCGUUAUCCGGAUCGGGGACAGUGUAUGGUGGGUAGUUUGACUGGGGCGGUCUCCUCCUAAAGAGUAACGGAGGAGUACGAAGGUGCGCUCAGCGUGGUCGGAAAUCACGCGUAGAGUAUAAAGGCAAAAGCGCGCUUAACUGCGAGACCGACAAGUCGAGCAGGUACGAAAUUAGGUCUUAGUGAUCCGGUGGUUCUGUAUGGAAGGGCCAUCGCUCAACGGAUAAAAGGUACUCUGGGGAUAACAGGCUGAUACCGCCCAAGAGUUCAUAUCGACGGCGGUGUUUGGCACCUCGAUGUCGGCUCAUCUCAUCCUGGGGCUGAAGCAGGUCCCAAGGGUAUGGCUGUUCGCCAUUUAAAGAGGUACGCGAGCUGGGUUUAGAACGUCGUGAGACAGUUCGGUCCCUAUCUACCGUGGGCGUUGGAGACUUGAGAGGAUCUGCUUCUAGUACGAGAGGACCGAAGUGGACGAACCUCUGGUGUUCCGGUUGUCACGCCAGUGGCACUGCCGGGUAGCUAUGUUCGGAAGGGAUAACCGCUGAAAGCAUCUAAGCGGGAAGCCUACCUCAAGAUAAGGUCUCCCUGAGGGUUUAACCCUCCUAAAGAGCCGUUAGAGACCAUGACGUUGAUAGGUUCGGUGUGGAAGUGCAGCGAUGCAUGAAGCUAACGAAUACUAAUUGCUCGUGAGGCUUGACUG
rnacentral:rRNA from 1 species